GACGAACGCUGGCGGCGUGCUUAACACAUGCAAGUCGAACGGAAAGGCCCUGCUUUUGUGGGGUGCUCGAGUGGCGAACGGGUGAGUAACACGUGAGUAACCUGCCCUUGACUUUGGGAUAACUUCAGGAAACUGGGGCUAAUACCGGAUAGGAGCUCCUGCUGCAUGGUGGGGGUUGGAAAGUUUCGGCGGUUGGGGAUGGACUCGCGGCUUAUCAGCUAGUUGGUGGGGUAGUGGCUUACCAAGGCUUUGACGGGUAGCCGGCCUGAGAGGGUGACCGGCCACAUUGGGACUGAGAUACGGCCCAGACUCCUACGGGAGGCAGCAGUGGGGAAUAUUGCACAAUGGGCGGAAGCCUGAUGCAGCAACGCCGCGUGCGGGAUGACGGCCUUCGGGUUGUAAACCGCUUUCGCCUGUGACGAAGCGUGAGUGACGGUAAUGGGUAAAGAAGCACCGGCUAACUACGUGCCAGCAGCCGCGGUGAUACGUAGGGUGCGAGCGUUGUCCGGAUUUAUUGGGCGUAAAGGGCUCGUAGGUGGUUGAUCGCGUCGGAAGUGUAAUCUUGGGGCUUAACCCUGAGCGUGCUUUCGAUACGGGUUGACUUGAGGAAGGUAGGGGAGAAUGGAAUUCCUGGUGGAGCGGUGGAAUGCGCAGAUAUCAGGAGGAACACCAGUGGCGAAGGCGGUUCUCUGGGCCUUUCCUGACGCUGAGGAGCGAAAGCGUGGGGAGCGAACAGGCUUAGAUACCCUGGUAGUCCACGCUGUAAACGGUGGGUACUAGGUGUGGGGUCCAUUCCACGGGUUCCGUGCCGUAGCUAACGCUUUAAGUACCCCGCCUGGGGAGUACGGCCGCAAGGCUAAAACUCAAAGGAAUUGACGGGGCCCCGCACAAGCGGCGGAGCAUGCGGAUUAAUUCGAUGCAACGCGUAGAACCUUACCUGGGUUUGACAUGGAUCGGGAGUGCUCAGAGAUGGGUGUGCCUCUUUUGGGGUCGGUUCACAGGUGGUGCAUGCCUGUCGUCAGCUCGUGUCGUGAGAUGUUGGGUUAAGUCCCGCAACGAGCGCAACCCUUGUUCACUGUUGCCAGCACGUUAUGGUGGGGACUCAGUGGAGACCGCCGGGGUCAACUCGGAGGAAGGUGGGGAUGACGUCAAGUCAUCAUGCCCCUUAUGUCCAGGGCUUCACGCAUGCUACAAUGGCUGGUACAGAGAGUGGCGAGCCUGUGAGGGUGAGCGAAUCUCGGAAAGCCGGUCUCAGUUCGGAUUGGGGUCUGCAACUCGACCUCAUGAAGUCGGAGUCGCUAGUAAUCGCAGAUCAGCAACGCUGCGGUGAAUACGUUCCCGGGGCU
rnacentral:rRNA from 1 species